GCAGUAAAAAAAUCACACUGGGGAUUUCUUCUGGGAACAGUGAUCCACUUCCUAAUGGGAAUCAAGUAAGUGUCUGCGAGAAAUGAGGAUCCUGCAGCUGGAGUGAUGGGAAUGGGGAGUCUGUAGUGAAUAUUGCCAGCUGAGUCUCCUGAUGUACCUGUUCUAACACUGUGCUGGCACCAAGUGACCUCAUUCUGAUGUGAACUGCCUUGAAGUGUGUGAGGGGGACAGGUGAGUCCAGUUUGGGGAGGGUGAGUGGGACCAGUUUAAGGGGACAGAUGGGACCAGUCUGGAGGGGGGAGAUUUGGGAGGGGGAGGUGAGGCCAGGUUAGGGGGGGCAGGCAGGAUUUUGAGGGGAGAAGGUGGAGUUUGGAGGGGCAGAUUGGACUGGUUUGAGGGGGACAGGUGGGACAUGGGGAGGACACCUGAGGCCAGUUUGGGGAGGGAAGAUGGGACCAGUUUGGGGGGCCAGGUGAGUCUGGGGGUACCAGUGUAAGGGGGAUGAAGGCACCAGUUUGGGGGAGCUGGUGGGACCAGUUUGGGGCGGGGUCAGGUGAGUUUGGGGUGGACGGGUCACCAGUUUGAAGGAGAAGAUGGGACCAGUUUGGGGGCCCAGGUGAGGUUCGGGGGAGUUUCGGGGUCCGCCAGCUCAGUUUUGGGGUGUCCUUCCCCACCCCCAGUGACGAGCUGUGCGAGGCCUGGUGCAUCUUCACCCCCCCUCCUGCACCAGAUCGAGCAGCGCUGCGAGCCCGCCAUCCCCUCUCCCCCUAGGAGGCCCAGGAGCUUGGACUGAGCCAGCAGUUCCCUUCUCACAUGUUCCCUCAACAGCAACCUUCCUCAAGAGCCCCUGAGGAGUGGCAAGAGGCAAAAAAACACGAAGAACGACCCCGGAGCGGCCUUGAAAAAGCAGGAAGCCCCGGAGAUGUGUCCGGGACAAGAGCAGAAACCGCGGCAGGCGGCGGCACGGGGACGUUCCCGAGCGCUCCGCUCCGCAUCCCUCUGUCCAGGCUCCGCGAAAUAGAAGAGGAGCUGCUGUGCGCGGAUGAGGCGGACAAUGAGUUCGAGUCUGGCGAGCCAGGGCCAGCGGCAGGGCCAGCAGCAGCGGCUCAGCCUCCCGGCCGAGCCCCAGCGCUGGGGGACAGCCGGGGCCUCGGCGCUGGCGCGGGGCUGCGGGCGGCGCUGCGGGAAGGCAGCGCUCGCCCCCCCCCCCCCCCCCCCCCCCCCCCCCCCCCCCCCCCCCCCCCCCCCCCCCCCCCCCCCC
rnacentral:lncRNA from 1 species